CAAACUCCACCAAUGUGCCAACAGGGAAGCUUUAGGUUUAUUAAAUGUUGCUAUGAAGGUAUCACUGUUUUUCUUUGUGAAUGCAAUGUGCUCCAACUGAAACUUGAAUUAGAACUUAGAAGUAAAUCAUUUCAUCUGAAAGGAUUUAGUUGCAUUAAUAACCUCAUAACAUUCUAAUUUUUAUUCCAGUCUUGGUUGGAAAUAGAAUCUCUGUAUUGAUUCAGGUAAAAACUGAACUUAACAGCAUGUUGGAGCAAAACAACCAGAUGAAAACUGUGAUGGUGUUGGAUUGUCAGACCGUAAUGUUGCAGCUCAAAGCAGCUUUUCUAGCUCAGUUCAUUCUGACAUUCAGCUAUGAAUCAACACAGCAGAUGGUGAUCCAUGCUGUGGAAGUCUCACAUCUCCUGAUUUAAUGGAGCUGCUUUGCACUUUUUACACUGUUUAUUCACCAACACUUUAUUUAAUAAAAGUCCCAUCUAGUUUUUAUGAGGAAUGUGAUGUUUUAAUUUCUCUGUGAAUAACUGCAGUCUAAUGCAACAGCUGGAAUUGUAACAUCUGUCCUGAUAUUGAUCAUGAAGUAUUGAUCAGAAUACUUAUGGUUAGCAGUCAUCCCUGAAGUUUUACAUUGAAAUCUUUACUUGUGUUGUGAACUUUGGUAAGAAGCAGAAACGUUAGCGUUGCCAUGGAUACAGGAGUGUUAAAUUCUGUCCAUGUUUCCAUUUUGGGAAAUUCAGUCCAGUUCCAGAAUGUGGAGGAAUUUAGUCUCAUAAUCACAGACAACAAAUAUUAUCUGAAAGUCGAGUUAUUGUUGUUUAUCAGCACAAUACAAAAAGAUUAAUGUUAGAAAUAUUCCAGUUAAGACUCUAGAAUAUCAUGAUUUAUGUAAAAUUUACCUCAAUAAUAUGAAUGUUCAGGUUAAGAUUGUACAGUGAUAUUUAUUAUGUAAGUUUAGCUGAUUAAAGUUUGACUCUGCACUAAAAUAUCAUUUAAAUUUACAUCAUUAUUAUAAUAUUUAGGGUCAGACCCUACAGUAUUGAGAUUAAGAAAUUAAAUAUUCUACAAAAUGUAAAUACACUGAACUCAUUUGGAUAUAUUUAAGUGAGACUUUACAAUAUUAUUUGACACAAAUCUAUCUAAAUCAAAAUUUUAAUAAUUUUUACUCCAACCUUUUACUGGACUGAUUUAAAUAUUAAAAUCACGCCUUUCUAAUCCUCUGCUGUACGUUCAAACCUGAGGCCUUAAAUAGAAACACACAAGUAUCUGUUUGAAGGAACUUCUGCAGAGUCCUGGUUCCAGAACAUGAUGAUAGAAUUAUAGACAAACUUUAACAAAAGCUGCCUGAGAGUUUACAGGUUUUUAUGUUAAAUUUCUUCAGUAAUUUAAUGAGCGUUAUCAGCAAUAAUCAAGGGUUCAUUUGAUGAACUUCAUUUCCUAAAACAUCCGGAAUUGGAGCUCAUAUCUUUGUCAGCUGUAAAGUUUCUGCUCCUUCAAAGUUCACAACACAAUGAAUGAAUUCCUAAAACACUCUCAAUGCUGGAGAACGUUUGUGAUGCUGAAGCAGUGAUCAGUUUUUCUGUUUCUUCUCUGGAGAUGCACAAUGAGGGACGUCUGCAGAGACUGAGAAAGAGUCUCACCACAUCCUGACAUGAGGAAAAAGACUUUAUUGAAGACUACAAUGAGAAAAACUAUCAGACAGCAGACGGCUGCAUUCAAGUCUGUAGCUGCUGAAUUCAUGGAUGAAUCAUCUGGCACUAGAGAAGAAGACCAUCAAACAUCCACGUCAGCUGAUGGAGGUCCAAGAGUCUCACCAAACAAACAACCUACAGAGUGAAGACCUCAAAUCUGAUUGGAUGGCCUCCUAUUCAGCCACAUUUUAGGCUGUUAGAUUGUUCCAGAUAAGACAAGUACAAGAUACUUCAGAGCCGUUCUACCACGAGCCUGAC
ensembl:lncRNA